UACGUAGGGGGCAAGCGUUGUCCGGAUUUAUUGGGCGUAAAGAGCGUGUAGGCGGCUUUACAGGUCCGUUGUGAAAACUCGAGGCUCAACCUCGAGACGCCGGUGGAAACCGUAAGGCUAGAGUCCGGAAGAGGAGAGUGGAAUUCCUGGUGUAGCGGUGAAAUGCGCAGAUAUCAGGAGGAACACCGGUGGCGAAGGCGGAUCUCUGGGCCUUACCUGACGCUCAGGUGCGAAAGCUAGGGGAGCGAACAGGA
rnacentral:rRNA from 1 species